UACGUAGGGGGCUAGCGUUGUCCGGAAUCAUUGGGCGUAAAGAGCGUGUAGGCGGCCCGGUAAGUCCGCUGUGAAAGUCGGGGGCUCAACCCUCGAAUGCCGGUGGAUACUGUCGGGCUAGAGUGCGGAAGAGGCGAGUGGAAUUCCUGGUGUAGCGGUGGAAUGCGUAGAGAUCCGGAAGAACACCAGUGGCGAAGGCGGCCCGCUGGGCAGUGGCUGACGCUGAAGCGCGACAGCGUGGGGAGCAAACAGG
rnacentral:rRNA from 1 species